rnacentral:rRNA from 1 species
AACGAACGCUGGCGGCAUGCCUAACACAUGCAAGUCGAACGAGACCUUCGGGUCUAGUGGCGCACGGGUGCGUAACGCGUGGGAACCUGCCCUUAGGUUCGGAAUAACUCCCCGAAAGGGGUGCUAAUACCGGAUAAUGUCUUCGGACCAAAGAUUUAUCGCCUUUGGAUGGGCCCGCGUUGGAUUAGCUAGUUGGUAGGGUAAAAGCCUACCAAGGCGACGAUGCAUAGCUGGUCUGAGAGGAUGAUCAGCCACACUGGGACUGAGACACGGCCCAGACUGCUACGGGAGGGAGCAGUGGGGAGUACAGGACACUGGGGCAAAGUCUAAUAAAGCAAUGUCGGGUGAGUGAGGAAGGGCGUAGGGUUGUAAAGCUCUUUUAGACGGGAUGAUAAUGACAGUAACGGGAGAAGAAGCACCGGCUAACUACGUG